rnacentral:rRNA from 1 species
UACGAAGGGGGCUAGCGUUGCUCGGAAUCACUGGGCGUAAAGCGCACGUAGGCGGAUUGUUAAGUCAGGGGUGAAAUCCUGGAGCUCAACUCCAGAACUGCCUUUGAUACUGGCGAUCUCGAGUCCGGGAGAGGUGAGUGGAACUGCGAGUGUAGAGGUGAAAUUCGUAGAUAUUCGCAAGAACACCAGUGGCGAAGGCGGCUCACUGGCCCGGUACUGACGCUGAGGUGCGAAGGCGUGGGGAGCAAACAGG